UGCAGUCCCUUAGCAACCCUCAGAGAGAAAGAAAAGCUUAGCCCUGCUCCAUGUUCAGACUUCAGGAAACCGGUAACAAGAAAGAGAGUUGACUGGAAUGCAGCGGUUAAGUCUUCGCCCCAAUACAUUUGAAGAGCAACUGCAGUCUGAAAACCAUGAGUAAAAUUAUAAUUUACUAUGCCAGCGUGUCAGGCUCUAGGGAGAUAAAACAAAGACAAGAAGAAGUUAUGAGAGUUUUAGACAUUUAUAAAAUUAAGUAUGAGUUAAUUGAUAUAGCCGUCAGUACCGAAGUUCUGGAAGAAAUGCGUACUAAGGUUGCCUCUCCCAAGGCUAUUCCACCUCAGAUAUUCAACGGACAAGAAUAUUGUGGCGAUUUCAUACGUUUCCAUGAUGCCAAGGAGAACAAGGAAAUUCUGAAGUUCCUGAAGAUGGAGUCUGAGUUUUCAUGAUGGUCUUGGUGAUUUCUCCCCACCUGAAUGUAGCUUCACUUUCCUUUCGGAUUCAGAUGGAGACCAUUAUAGAAAGUCAUAAAAACUAGUCAAAGUACAGAAAUCAGCUGACCAUGGGGUGCCCAGCUCAAGGCAACACUUCAAAAUGUCCCAUGGCUCCAAAGAAAAUAAAUGAAGAUCACCCAAGAAGAACAAUAGAAGCCUGAUUAUUCAGAACUUGUUAGAAGUUAGGCAUCAUCACUAGUAUUUUGCAGAGACUGUCAAAGGCAGGCAAAAGAAUGGGAAGUUUUACAAACGAAAGACAUCAGAUAAUUUAAUGAACCAAGUGCAUCAUAGCAUUGAUUUCCAAGCAUCUUUAUAAGCACGAAACAGAAGAAAAGUCAGAGAGGAAGAGAAGAAUUAAAGAGACAGAAUGAACUGACUGCUGUACCAACAGAAGCUAAAAGCAGGAGAAGAAUCUCCUUUUCCUGUGGUCUUGAUGGGGCAUACUACUUUUCAUCUUCUUUCCUUCAGAACGCUAAAAGCAAUGUCUGCUCUCUUUAGUUACCUUGUUUGUGCCUCUCCCAUUGUUUUUCAAAUUCACAGUAAGCUGUUACAUCUUCGAACUGUAAUCUCUUAAAAUAAAGAGAGGAAUAAUCCAAA